rnacentral:pre_miRNA from 1 species
GGAAUAUAAGAAUCCGUCUCUUAACUUUUAACUAAAAAAGUUAAGAACCGGUUCUUAACUUUUUUAGUUAAAAGUUAAGAGACGGGUUCUUAUAUUCC